CCCUUGACAUGUCUGGAAUGCCGAAGAGAUUUGGCAGUGCUCGCAAGAGAACCGGAACACAGGUGCUGCAUGGCUGUCGUCAGCUCGUGUCGUGAGAUGUUGGGUUAAGUCCCGCAACGAGCGCAACCCUUGUCAUUAGUUGCUACGAAAGGGCACUCUAAUGAGACUGCCGGUGACAAACCGGAGGAAGGUGGGGAUGACGUCAAGUCCUCAUGGCCCUUAUGGGUAGGGCUUCACACGUCAUACAAUGGUCGGGACAGAGGGUCGCCAACCCGCGAGGGGGAGCCAAUCCCAGAAACCCGAUCGUAGUCCGGAUUGCAGGCUGCAACUCGCCUGCAUGAAGUCGGAAUCGCUAGUAAUCGCGGAUCAGCAUGUCGCGGUGAAUACGUUCCCGGGUCUUGUACACACCGCCCGUCACACCAUGGGAGUGGGUUUUACCAGAAGUAGUUAGCCUAACCGCAAGGAGGGCGAUUACCACGGUAGGAUUCAUGACUGGGGUGAAGUCGUAACAAGGUAAGCGUAGUGCU
rnacentral:rRNA from 1 species